CGCCAGACUCCUACGGGAGGCAGCAGUGGGGAAUAUUGCACAAUGGGGGAAACCCUGAUGCAGCGACGCCGCGUGAGCGAUGAAGUAUUUCGGUAUGUAAAGCUCUAUCAGCAGGGAAGAAAAUGACGGUACCUGACUAAGAAGCCCCGGCUAACUACGUGCCAGCAGCCGCGGUAAUACGUAGGGGGCAAGCGUUAUCCGGAUUUACUGGGUGUAAAGGGAGCGUAGACGGCUGUGCAAGCCAGAUGUGAAAGCCCGGGGCUCAACCCCGGGACUGCAUUUGGAACUGUGUAGCUGGAGUGUCGGAGAGGCAGGCGGAAUUCCUAGUGUAGCGGUGAAAUGCGUAGAUAUUAGGAGGAACACCAGUGGCGAAGGCGGCCUGCUGGACGAUGACUGACGUUGAGGCUCGAAAGCGUGGGGAGCAAACAGGAUUAGAUACCCCAGUAC
rnacentral:rRNA from 1 species